UACGAAGGGGCUAGCGUUGCUCGGAAUUACUGGGCGUAAAGCGCACGUAGGCGGCUUCUUAAGUCGGUGGUGAAAUCCUGGAGCUCAACUCCAGAAUCUGCCUUCGAUACUGGGAAGCUCGAGUCCGGGAGAGGGUGGAGUGGAACUGCGAGUGUAAGAGGUGAAAAUUCGUAGGAUAUUCGCAAGAACACCGGAUGGCGAACGACGAAUCCCCUGGGCCUGCACUGACGCUCGAUGACACGAAAGCGUGGGGAGCAAACAGG
rnacentral:rRNA from 1 species